CUCUUUUUCUCGCUGUCCUCUCUGUGGCCACCCUCCUUUUUCUCACUUCUGCUCUCCCUGUCCGGCUCUUCUCUCUCCUCUCUCCCUUCUAGCAGAUUCUCUGGCUGUUUCCUCUCCUCUCCCUCUGUGCUCCUCCCUCCUCCUCUCUCCUCCCAGCCACUAUCCUCUCUCUUCACCCUCUUCUCUUUCUGUCUCAUGGUCUCCUCCUAGCUCUUUUCCUUCCCAGUUCCUAGCUCUCUCCUUUCUCUUUCCUCUUCUCUGGCUGGAGCUCCCCGCUCCUCCAUCCCUCCCUCUCCCGGGGCCCCCUCUCCCCCACCCUCUUCUCCCCCAACACCCUCUCCCCCACCCACUUCUCCCUAGGACGCUCCCUCCUUCACCCGUUUCUCUGCUUCCCUCUUCUCCGAGCUCACCAGCCAUGGCACCCACCCUCUCCCUCUCUUCCUUCCUGUCCCUUUUUUCACCCCCUCGUCUUUCUUUCCUCUUCUGUUUUUUCUUCUCUUUCCACUUCUGACCCCCUACACUGUUUCCUUCUUUCUCCCUCUUCCUCUCUCCCCUCCUGCUCUGGCCAUCUUUUCUUUUUUUUUUUUUUUUUUUUUUUGAGACGGAGUCUCGCUCUGUCGCCCAGGCUGGAGUGCAGUGGCGCAAUCUCGGCUCACUGCAAGCUCCGCCUCCAGGGUUCACGCCAUUCUCCUGCCUCAGCCUCCCGAGUAGCUGGGACUACAGGCGCCUGCCACCAUGCCCUGCUAAUUUUUUUUUUGUAUUUUUAGUAGAGACAGGGUUUCACCGUGUUAGCCAGGACGGUCUCGAUCUCCUCACCUCGUGAUCUGCCUGCCUUGGCCUCCCAAAGUGCUGGGAUUACAGGCGUGAGCCACCGUGCCCGGCUCUUUCCUCCUGCUUUUUUCCUACACUCUCUCCUCCCUCCUCUCCUCCCUCUUUCUCCUGUUUGAUUUCCACCUCUUUUCUCUCCUCUCUCCUCUGAAUCUGCCUCUUCCUCUUCUCACCUCCCUCUUCCUUCCCUGUCUCUCCCCCUUGGGUCUCUCUUCCUUCCCUCUCUCUGGUUUCUCUGUCUCUGCCCUGUCCUUUCCUUUCCCUCCUCUCUGGACCUGUCUCCUCUCCUGGCUCUCUCUCCUUCAAGCUCUCACUCCCACUGGCCUCCCUCCCGGGAGCCCCGUCUCCUCCGUCUCCAGGUGGCCCCUGCAUCCCUGCCUGGUGGGCCUUUGCCUCCCUCUCCUGUUCCUGCCUUGCCUGCUCCCAGGUUUCCAGGUCCUGACCAGGAGGCAGGAGUCCAUACCGAGGCCCAAACAGGCUAGCCCUGAGCAGGGCCCCCAAGCCUGAGGCCCAGGAGUGGACAGACCUUUGUGACACCCAUUCUCUCUUCCUUUUCCAUCUGUCCGGAACUCUGGACACUGCCUGGAGGAAUCAGGCCUGCCGUAGGCCCAGGAAGGCGGAAACAAAGACGACGCUCAGAGACAGGAAGCAACUUGCCUAAAGAUACACAGCACAAAUGAGAAAAUUGGUGCCCAAUGUUUCUGAAGACCAGCAACUGCUAAGACAGAGACUUCGAGGGAACCCGACCUUGCCUGAAGGACCAACAGCGCCCCCUGCAGGACACUUCCCUCCAUUGAGAGAAGCCACAGGCGCCGGCCUGAGGCAUUCUGAGUGCGUGGAAUCCUCUAUUACCACCUCCUGGCAAAGAACGGAGCUGCAACCCAGCUAUAUGAGACACCGAGAAUGAUCUCAACAAAAAGGAACAGUGACCAGAAUGCCUGGGGGAGGAACAGGGGAUACUGGGUGGAAGGAGGGGAGAGGGAGAAGUUGUAAUAUUUUGUAAAAAUGAACAUUUUUACUCCUAAUCAAUAUACAAACAUCAUGCUCAGCAAA
rnacentral:lncRNA from 1 species